AUGAACAUCUUCAAACAAUGCAGUUACUCAUUACUCACAUUACGUAUUUCGAUAAAUUCACAUAAUUGCUCCUCAAUGAAGUUCAUAUCAUUGAUUCCUGACAACAUUCAUUCUCUCAAGACUAAUCACCGUUCGAAAGGCCGUGCGCAUGGAUGUCUGCGAAAACUGGUCUCAUCAUCUGGGCCUACCGGAAUACCUACAUUGUCUUUGACUCACAGUCCGUCUGUCUCCUGUCAUUGUGGCAAGUUUUUAAUUUUUUGAAAGAGCCCUGGACAGGAGGUAAACGGCAAACUCUCAACAUCAAUUAUCUACCUAAUUUUAUGGAAUAUCAUAUUUGUGAUUGAAGCUCUCGCUAAGUAUAGUGCAAUUUGCAUACCUAAUGUGGAUUUCACUUUCAAUAACCUCAUUAGAAGCUCAUUGACGACUCAUUGAGUGACGCUCAUUAGAAGUGGUAGUGCAAUAAAAUGGUGAUGGCUGUAGUGCGCGGACAUCUCUCCUGGGAACAAACUAUUUACGAAGAAUGCUGAAUUUUAUGCUGAAGAUAAUCUAUUCCAUCAUCUAACUCGGGAGGAACCGAAGCAAAUAGGUGAAUUAUUUAUUUAUGAAUUUUGUAUUGUUUGUUUGUUUUUUUGUUGUUUGUUUUAUGUAUGAAUUUUGUUUUAUGAUUUUUGUAUUGUUUUUUUUUUGAUUAGUAUCUUGCAUUUGUAAACAAAUUUAGACCUACAGAUAUAUUGUUCUUGUGUUACGGCUUGAUACGUAAUUUGUAAAUAAUUAUAGUUAAAAAAACCCUUAAAUACGGGAUAGAUGCUGAAAGAAAAUUUGCUUAAAGCUUAAUGCCUCUAAUUGGUAAAGUGAUUAGUCGUUGGCAUAAAAUUUCAACAGUGUCGGUGUGAGUAUACUUCAGACUUUGCUAUGACUUCUCAUGAUAAAUGAAAUAGUAGAGUCUUAACUACCAAAAAGGUGGAAGAAUCUGCUAGAUUAAGAUUUUUUUGUGGUAUCAAUGCAAUUGUAUCUCGAGGGAGUGGUUCAAAACUCAAUUGAAGAAUUAACAAGUUCACUUUUCAUGAGAAUUAAUUGACAAUAAAAAGUAGGGCAGUUGCACAGGUAGAGUAAUUCUGAGAAAUCAUAAAAUUAAGUUUUUUAAAGUACAAUUUAUGUAUUAAAUUUCUGUAAGGUCUCUUGUGGAGCAACGCACCGAAGGGUCUAUCAUUCUCAUCAAUUAUGAAAAUGGGGUACCCAUAGGAGCACUGCUCCGCAAGGGACCUCCUCUUUUUAUGCUUAAAUCAGGAUUUACUUUUACCUUUUUUUACUUACUUUAAAAAAAGGUUUUUUUUACAUAAAAAAAGGAAGUAAUUUUUAAUUUUUUUUUUACGUAAAAGUUCAUCAAUUUACAUUUUUUUAAAUGUAAAAUUUACACCACAGUUGACGCCUUCUUGCCAAUUUUACAUAAAAAAGACAUAAAUUCAUAUAAAUUUCAGUUUUUU
rnacentral:lncRNA from 1 species